UACGUAGGUGACAAGCGUUGUCCGGAUUUACUGGGCGUAAAGAGCGCGCAGGCGGUCGGUCAAGUCGAGUGUGAAAGCCCCCGGCUCAACUGGGGAGGGUCAUUCGAUACUGAUCGACUCGAAGGCAGGAGAGGGUAGUGGAAUUCCCGGUGUAGUGGUGAAAUGCGUAGAUAUCGGGAGGAACACCAGUGGCGAAGGCGACUACCUGGCCUGUUCUUGACGCUGAGGCGCGAAAGCUAGGGGAGCAAACGGGG
rnacentral:rRNA from 1 species